GACGAACGCUGGCGGCGUGCUUAACACAUGCAAGUCGAACGGAAAGGCCCUGCUUUUGUGGGGUGCUCGAGUGGCGAACGGGUGAGUAACACGUGAGUAACCUGCCCUUGACUUUGGGAUAACUUCAGGAAACUGGGGCUAAUACCGGAUAGGAGCUCCUGCUGCAUGGUGGGGGUUGGAAAGUUUCGGCGGUUGGGGAUGGACUCGCGGCUUAUCAGCUUGUUGGUGGGGUAGUGGCUUACCAAGGCUUUGACGGGUAGCCGGCCUGAGAGGGUGACCGGCCACAUUGGGACUGAGAUGCGGCACAGACUCCUACGGGAGGCAGCAGUGGGGAAUAUUGCACGAUGGGCGGAAGCCUGAUGCAGCAACGCCGCGUGCGGGAUAACGGCCUUCGGGUUGUAAACCGCUUUCGCCUGUGACGAAGCGUGAGUGACGGUAAUGGGUAAAGAAGCACCGGCUAACUACGUG
rnacentral:rRNA from 1 species